GACGAACGCUGGCGGCGCGCUUAACACAUGCAAGUCGAGCGAGAACCAGGGCUUCGGCCCUGGGGACAGCGGCGAACGGGUGAGUAACACGUGGAUAACCUGCCCUCGGCACCGGGAUAGCCCGGGGAAACCCGGACUAAUACCGGAUGGCCCUUCCGGCUCACGAGCCGGCCGGAAAAGGUAGCUUCGGCCUCCGGCCGAGGAUGGGUCCGCGGCGGAUUAGCUUGUUGGUGGGGUAACGGCCCACCAAGGCUCCGAUCCGUAGCUGGUCUGAGAGGACGAUGGGCCACACGGGGAGUGAGACACGGCCCAGACUCGUACGGGGGGCAGGAGUGGGGGGGCUUGCGAAAUGGGCGAAAGACUGACGCAGCGACGCCGCGUGAGGGAGGAAGGCCUUGGGGUUGUAAACCUCUUUCAGGAGGGACGAAGCUACUCGGGUGAAUAGCCCAGAGGGUGACGGUACCUCCAGAAGAAGCCCCGGCUAACUACGUGCCAGCCGCCGCAGUAA
rnacentral:rRNA from 1 species